GAUUCUACAAAUAAAAUAGUUCUCAAAGUUUUUAUGGUUUCCUGACAAUCUAUCGAGGUAUAAAAGGUUGGAGGUGGUUCUAGGCUUGUACGCAUAAUUCAUCUGACCAAGGAAGAACUCGGUUGCUUCUUGUUGUUCUUCAAUCCAUUCAACUAGGAACAAGUUUCUAUCUAAAUUUCGGUAACAUGAUGAAAAUUAUUCUUGCACUGGCUGUCCUUGUAGCUGUUUUCAGCAUGGAGAUCUUAGCCGCUAGUUUACAGAAUCAACAAAUUCAUGAAGAAACACCAGCAGAAGAGAGGACAUUUGGCCUGCUGGCGUUAUUUGCAAUUUGGCCUGCUAUUAAAGGCUUUUUCAAAAGCAUCUUUGCUCCCGCUGCUGUUACCUACUAGAUGAUGUUGCAAGAGAAGUCUCAACUUGCACAUUUUGAUCGAGUAGUAAGCAAGAUUUUCACAAUGUAAAUAACAUGUCACAUCCGAAUUAAGGUGUUGAUUCACGGGUGUUUCGGGUACCUUCACUGCCAUUCAGUGUGCUGGGCGCAAAUACAAUGAGCAAUUUUCUACAAAAA